rnacentral:rRNA from 1 species
CAGGGAUUGCCUCAGUAGCGGCGAGCGAAGCGGCAACAGCCCAGAUUUGAAAUCUGUCCCCGCACGGGGUCCGACUUGUAAUCUGCAGAUGGGUCUUCCCGGGGGCGCGCGCGCCGUCCAAGUGAUCCUGGAACGGUCCGCCGUAGAGGGUGAGAGCCCCGUACGGCGGCGCCGCGUCUCCUCCAGCGAAGCCCAUUCGGAGAGUCGAGCAGUUUGGGAAUGCUGCUCUAAAGGGAGGUAAAUCCCUUCCAAGGCUAAAUACCUGCCGGAGACCGAUAGCGCAGAAGUAGCGCGAGCGAAAGGUGAAUAGAACUCUGAAAAGAGAGUUAAAGCAUGUGAAAUCGUUGAAGGGGAAGCGGUUUCGACCAGACUCGCGCCGGUCGGUCACCCAGCGGUCACGCUGGGGCACUCUGCCGGCGCGGGCCAGCAUCGGCUGGCGGCGGGGUCAAAGGCCCUGGGAACGUGGCUCUUCGGAGUGUUAAGCCCAGGACGCAAUGCCCCGUUGCCGGCCGAGGAAUCUAGCGCCCUCGGCACG